rnacentral:rRNA from 1 species
GUGGGGAAUAUUCCGCAAUAGACGAAAGUCUGACGGAGCAACGCCGCGUGAGUGAUGAAGGUUUUCGGACUGUAAAGCUCUGUUGUUUAGGACGAAAGUGCCUGUUGCAAAUAGUUACAGGUAUUGACGGUACUGAACGAGGAAGCCACGGCUAACUACGUGCCAGCAGCCGCGGUAAUACGUAGGUGGCAAGCGUUGUCCGGAAUUAUUGGGCGUAAAGAGCAUGUAGGCGGGAAUCUAAGUCUGUUGUGAAAAUGCGGGGCUCAACCCCGUAUUGCGAUGGAAACUGGGUUUCUUGAGUGCAGGAGAGGAAAGGGGAAUUCCCAGUGUAGCGGUGAAAUGCGUAGAUAUUGGGAGGAACACCAGUGGCGAAGGCGCCUUUCUGGACUGUGUCUGACGCUGAGAUGCGAAAGCCAGGGUAGCGAACGGGAUUAGAUACCCCUGUAGUCC